UACGAGGGGGCUAGCGUUGCUCGGAAUCACUGGGCGUAAAGCGCACGUAGGCGGAUCUUUAAGUCAGGGUGAAUCCUGGAGCUCAACUCCAGAACUGCCUUGAUACUGGGAUCUCGAGUCCGGAAGAGGUGAGUGGAACUCCGAGUGUAGAGGUGAAAUUCGUAGAUAUUCGGAAGAACACCAGUGGCGAAGGCGGCUCACUGGUCCGGUACUGACGCUGAGGUGCGAAAGCGUGGGAGCAACAGGG
rnacentral:rRNA from 1 species